CAUCUACAGUUUUGGAUGAUUGAUUAAUCAAUUUCUUAUAAUUUAAGGAAUCCUUCCAACUCCGUGAUGUCACAGAUGAUGUCAAGGAGAUUGUGAAAUGUGUGAACGAUCUGACCGUCAAUGGAAGACGGGGAAACGACUACACCCUUAUUUACUUUGUGGAUAUAUUUAGAGGAGCUAAAACUGGUAAAAUUUCUGAUGCCGGACAUGAUAGAAUACCCCUUCAUGGUCGUGGUAAAAAUUACAGCAGGGCUGAUGCUGAAAGACUACUAAGAAAUUUGGUUAUUGACGCCAUUUUACAUGAGGAUCUAAAAAUUACUGCGGCAGACACCACGGUUUUUUAUAUCAGGCUUGGACCUAAAGCCAACGAUGUGAUGAUGGGUAAACGCAAGGUAGAGUUACAGGUACAGGGCAGUAGGAAGAGAACUGAAGUGGCUAAGAUCGGUAAAGAACCUGUCAGUAAACGUGAGAACGUGAUCGAAGAAUGUCUCAACGAACUGCUAGAAAUGGCAAAGA